UACUCCUACGGGAGGCAGCAGUGGGGAAUAUUGCACAAUGGGCGCAAGCCUGAUGCAGCGACGCCGCGUGAGGGAUGGAGGCCUUCGGGUUGUAAACCUCUUUCGCCAGUGAAGCAGGCCUGCUCCUUGUGGGUGGGUUGACGGUAGCUGGAUAAGAAGCGCCGGCUAACUACGUGCCAGCAGCCGCGGUAAUACGUAGGGCGCGAGCGUUGUCCGGAAUUAUUGGGCGUAAAGAGCUCGUAGGCGGCUGGUCGCGUCUGUCGUGAAAUCCUCUGGCUUAACUGGGGGCUUGCGGUGGGUACGGGCCGGCUUGAGUGCGGUAGGGGAGACUGGAACUCCUGGUGUAGCGGUGGAAUGCGCAGAUAUCAGGAAGAACACCGGUGGCGAAGGCGGGUCUCUGGGCCGUUACUGACGCUGAGGAGCGAAAGCGUGGGGAGCGAACAGGAUUAGAUACCCUGGUAGUCCACGCCGUAAACGUUGGGCACUAGGUGUGGGGGGCCUUUUCCGGGUCUUCCGCGCCGUAGCUAACGCAUUAAGUGCCCCGCCUGGGGAGUACGGCCGCAAGGCUAAAACUCAAAGGAAUUGACGGA
rnacentral:rRNA from 1 species